rnacentral:misc_RNA from 1 species
GAAAUGCGAUAACUAAUGUGAAUUGCAGAACUACGUGAAUCAUCGAGUCUUUGAACGCAUAUUGCACCCUGUGGUAUUCCGCAGGGUAUGCCUGUUUGAGUGUCAGUAAAUAACCUCAAGCCUUUAUUGGUUUGGAUUUGAGUGUGUAGUUUGUCAAAGCUACUCGCUUUAAAAGCAUCGGUGAGCAGUUUGAAUUUGGGUUCGGAUGCUCUUAACUUGACAAGGACUUUUAGUUCGCGUUAGUUAAUCAUUCUUACCUGUGAACUGUUAACUUGCCUUAGAUUAUUUACCCUGAGUUUUCGGACUCUUGUAACUUGACCUCAAAUCAGGUAGGAUUACCCGCUGAACUUAA